GACUGCAGAAAACGUGACUUUUAUAGAGUCAGUGGGGAAUAUUAACUUGUAAAGUCCAUGAAAACCGAUACCUGCUGGACAACAAAGUGUUUUGGUUGGUUGCAGCAUCGUAAACCUAAAAGCAGAAGAGUGAGGCGUGUGUGAUUCGUGUAAAGUAUGCGGCGCAUGCGCAUACCUGAAUUAUCCGACAGCUAGCUCCGUUGUUGCGAGUCCACCGUAGUUACACACACACACGCACUACCUAGCGUUAGCAACAAGACCCACAGCAGCAUCACAGAGUCUGUAAGGUUAACUCGGAGUAUUCACAGACAACCAUGCUUAUAGUCACCUAUACUGCAUCUGCCACAAUUAUAAGUGCAUAUCUGGCUGUAUCACGGUUGGAUUAAUCAUGGCAAGCCCUGCUGUAACCAGUUCUUCUGUGAAGCUUCAUUAAAGACGGUGAACUAAACUCCUGGACUGCUGCAGUCUUUCUGACCCAAGACUUAGGCCAGACUUGUAUACCCAGCACUUCCAGUUCAUAUAUAUUCUACACAAAUGUUUAUCAGUUGAAGAAUCAGACUCCUUUUAAACAUUAUAUUUGUACUAAAUGUGUAUGUAAAUAUGGUGUCUGUAUAUUUAAUGCCUAUAUUUGUGACUGUGUUUCUGUUGUAGUUUAUUCCUGUAUGAAUGUUAAAUACUUGACUGAAAGUAUUCAAAAUGUAUUUGCAUUGCUUUACAGAAAAAGGGAAAAAUCGUAGGACUGUGGGGGAAAGAGUGAUUACCUCAGUUAAACAACUCGUGUAAUUAUAUUAGGUUCAUCUUUAAGGAACUCUGCAUGUCUCCAAACAGCUUUGAAUGUCUUUGAAAUGAGAAUAAUACAAAUAGAAAAAGAAAAAAAUGGACACAUGCAGACAAAGUAAAGAGAUGAAUAUUCAGUAAGCUAUAAAGAUUCAAAGGUCUCUCAGUUUUUCUCAAAUGUGUGUGAGGACUGCUUGUUUGUAUUCUUGGAUGCACUUAGUAAAUCCAACAGCUCAGCUAUUUGUUGUUUGUUGUUUUUAAAAGUUGCAGGAAGAACAAACUUCUUAAAUAGUAAAUGAAACAAAGCACAAAUGCAAAGUUGUUGUUUUUUUUUCAUUUUUAUUUUUUUAUUUUUUUUCUGUUUUUUAACUCAAAAAGUCCAGUUACAACAGGACAUUUUGAGUUAAGAAACAGACCAAAUCUCAACAACACUUCCCUCAUGGUGCUUUAUAAUGUAAAGUCAAGACCCUACAAUAAUGCACAAAGACUCCAAUCCCCUAGAGCAAGCACUUUGGCGACAGUGGGAAGGAAAAACUCACUUUUAAAAGAGAGAAACCUCCGGCAGACCCAGGCUCUAGGAUGGGGUGGCCAUCUGCCUCAGCCAGUUGGUGAUGAGGGAAGGAAGUUGGGAGAAGAAGAGUAGUGAUUUUUAACCACUCUGGUUUCAAAAUUAAAUUUAGAAAGCCCAAUUGAAAUGAAUAUUCACAUGCACGUGUUGGUUCGAUUUUAGCGUGCACAUGAGAAAGCCCUAAAGAUGAUGUUUUGGCUCCUCAAUUUUGCAUGUUUUUUGAAGCUGCUGACGAUUGCUUCAUCCAUUACUGGGUUUCUUGACCACAUUAAGAGCAUUGGAGAAUCCCACCUGUCAUGGAGUUCAUUGUAUAUUGUCAGGGCGAGUUCUCCAAUGUUCUCCAAGGACAUUUUGUACUUUUUUGACAAAAUUUUGUCCCAGAUCUUCUGGAAAAGCCUC
ensembl:lncRNA